rnacentral:lncRNA from 1 species
GCGCCUGUGCCAGGCACCUGGGAAGGAUGACUGCCCGGUUCGUGGUCUCAGUGACCUCUAAGAACACGCAGCUCUGCAGCUGCUGAGACAGAAGUAAGUACCAGUCCAAGAAGGGCAGUGAGAGCCCACUGCUUCAACCGAGUGCUCACCCACCGGAGUCCACUCUUCUCUUGGCUUUGGGCUUGCCGAGGUCCUCGGGGAGGCAUUUUCUCUCUUUUCUUCCUUCCCUCUCUCUUUCUAACACUUCCUACCCACCACAGGUUUAAGUGGCUGAUGAGGAAAGGAAGCAGAGGAGUUCCUAUCAUAGCUCAGUGGUUAACGAAUCCAGCUAGGAACCAUGACAGGAACUCCACGUGGACCACUUUAGAAGCCGCUAUUCCCCUCCCACAUGUGGCUUCCGUAGUAUUGAAUUCAAUUUAAUUAAACAAAAACGCAGGUGAGCCUCGCAAUACACAAGCCAGGAGUCAAUCACGUGCCAUCAUCAGCCUCACAGUGGUUCCGUAAAAAAGAAAUGGCUGUACUUGCAUCAUGUCUAGAGGGUGACACCAAAGCUGGUCCAUCCCACUGAGACCCCAAGCAGGGGCAACAGCGGGAGCAUGAGCCCUGCACCCGCCGCAGAGGGAAGGGGGGCUGGGAACCCCUUACUGCACUCGCCGCUCUACUGACACCCAGACUCACCCUCUCCCCGAUAAGCGUCUGCUCCUGCAAGGAUCUAGAUUGCAAAAUCCCGAGGGCCCUAACCAGUUUCAGGUGCUGCAAGAUGCUGCUGACUUAGGGAAGAGGCACGGCGGUGAAGGGCUGCGUCACCAGCGCUCCUGAGCGUUGAGGCUCACCUUUCUCCUAGGAUGGACUAUUCUGCGAAGAGCUGCAUUCGCUGCAGCCAUAGUGUGAGAAAGAGUUGGAGCCAGUACCCUGGUCUGCAGGGAGGGCCGAGGGCCAAAGGCUCUCUGGAGCUGGGACCCCAGCACUGAGUGCAUUUGCUGGAACGGGGAAGCGUGUGGAAUUCGUGCAACUUUCUGUUUCAGCACUGGUGUCUAGUCCUCUCCCCUCCCGGCCCAGGGUGCUCUGUCGUUCUUGUCUGACCUCCAAAUACAGAAUGGGUGUCCCUCCACCCCAAGGUUCCUGGGCCUUACAGACGCCCUGGGGGCUGGGGGAGGUGCGGAGGGCAAGGCUC